AGCCGUGCGGUGACGCUGCGGUGCCCCGGUGUCCCAGGCGCGGUGCGCGGGGUGGCCGCGCUGCCGUUGGCGCAGACGCUGCACGCGAUGGGCGCCGGACGGACGCGAGCCGGGGAAAAAAUCGACCCCGCUGUGGGAGCCGAGCUGCUGGUGGAGGCGGGGCAGCGACUGCGGGAAGGUGACCCCUGGCUGCGGCUGCACCACAACGGCCGCGUUGGGACCGCGCAGCGCCAGGCACUGCAGAGCGCGCUGCUGCUGGAACCGGACCCGGUUCGCGGUACCGACACCGAUACCGGCACCGGCACCGGCACCGCCGCGCUGCCCCGCAUCGCCGACAUCAUCCUGCCCCGCACGGAGCUCCGCGGGGAACAAUAACGGCGGCGCGGCGGUUCCGUGCGGGGGAGAAUCCGUGAGCGGAUCGACACCGAACCGACCCGCAGUGACACCGAACCGCCCCGGUCCCGCAGCGACACCGAACCGACCCGCAGUGACACCGAACCGCCUCAGUCCCUACGCAACACCGAACCGGUCCGGUCCCGCAGCGACACCGAACCGGUCCGGUCCCGCAGUGACACCGAACCGCCUCAGUCCCUACGCAACACCGAACCGGUCCGGUCCCGCAGUGACACCGAACCGCAGUGACACCGAACCGCAGUGACACCGCACCGCCCUGCAAUGACACCGCACCGCAGUGACACCGAACCACAGUGACACCGAACCGCAGUGACACCGAAUCGGACCACAGCGACACUGAACCGCCCCUCAGCGACACCGAACCACCCUGGCACCGCAGCAACACCGAACCGCCCCGGUCCCGCAGUGACACCGAACCGCCCCGGCAGCGCAGCAACACCGAACCGCCCCGCAGCGACACCGAACCGCCCCGCAGUGACGCCGAACCG
rnacentral:lncRNA from 1 species